CCAAAAAAUCAACAAGAAAAAAUCCGAAUGUUUAUUGUUUGCAAUCUCAUGAAGUGGAGAACGAAAAAACUCGCAACUGAUGUUGCUUGCAUCUGGAUUCUAAAGUGUUGCUUAAUGCGAUUUUUUUAAGUUAUCUUCCCAUGGCGCGACCGCUUGAUUGCUGAUCUCUAAAUAGUUUCUGGCAUGCAACAUCUUGACCCAAUUCAUUCAAGGAACCAAAUACCUUGGCAUUGAUACAGCGAUAUGCCACCUUAUCUUCCCCAAUCCCGUGAUGUCAUCAAAACCCGGGCAAUCGGUGAUUUCAUUCAUGAGUCAUUUCAGCUGAACCACCCAUUCAACUGCAAUCAGAAGCUGCCCUGGAUGAUCUGACCUUGUUCUGCUGCUACCUCCCAGGUUGAUGCUCGAAAAGCCGUGCACCGUAAAAUAUCAACAACAUGUCAGAUACCCUUUUAUCGGUAGAAGGAUUCGAAAGUAGUUUGCCCUGAUUUUCCCUUCGUAUGAUUGGUUUAGAAUAACUAUGAGAGGUUUUUAAAUAAUGGACAGUUAAUAUUCACUACAGUCAGCAGAAAGCGCGAUGUUUCGGAUUUCCAAUUUGUUCCGUUUCAGGACAGAGAUAUUUUUUCCGAAACAUAUUGUAACAGUUAAUCAGAGCAAAUUGUCUGUGCUGAACCAAUUAGGAACCUGGCGUGAAGAUUGAACAUAUGAAGGACGAUUUUGCUAUUUACCUACCAAAUUAUAAAAAGCUUAAAUAAAUGU